GUAAAAAGCUGUUCUCCGCAACCAUGGUCUAAAUUUUAUCGGUGAUGAGAUAUGGGAUCCCCGUCUCACAGAAGGAGAUACUCUACGUCGCCUGUGGAUCAUCGUCAUAGCAGAAGAAGCAAAAGAGAUAGAAGCCGAUCUCCGUACUCCAAUUCUCAUUCUAGGAGAAGAAGUCGUUCUGAUUCUCCACGACAUCGUAGAAGUCGUUCGCCGAGUUAUAGACGCCGUAAGAGUCCAUCUCCAACACCUAGACGACGUAGAAGGCACAGAAGUAAGAGUGAUUCAUUCUCUCCUCUACCCAGGUCUCCUACCCCAAGUCUUGCUUCUUCUGAACGCAAAAAUGCCACUCAGAAACUGAAAAAAGAGCAGGAAGAGAAGAAAAGGCUUCAACAUGAAGCAGAACUGAGACUAUUAGAAGAGGAGACUGCAAAGAGAUUGGAGGAAGCAAUUUGGAAAAAUGUGGAAGACAGGUUAAAUUCUGAGAAAGUCAAACUAGAAAUAGAGAGGCGGAUAGAAGAAGGUCAAAAGAAAUUGUUUGAUGAUGUUGUAGCUCAACUGGAGAAGGAGAAGGAAGCUGCUCUUUAUGAGGCAAGACGGAAAGAGGAACAAGCUCGAAAGGAAAGAGAGGAGCUAGACAAAAUGCUGGAAGAGAAUAGGAGGAGGGUAGAAGAAGCACAGCGAAGAGAAGCUCUAGAGCAGCAGCGAAAAGAGGAGGAACGAUUUCGUGAAUUGGAGCUCAUUCAGAGGCAAAAAGAAGAGGUUGCUUGGAGAAAAAAACUGGAAGACGAAGAAGAACAUGCUAAUCACAUGAAAGCGUUGGGUAAGAACAGAUCUCGACAGAAGCUGCCUUUUGGCAUUGGUUUAUAACAAUUUUUAAAAGCCUGUAUGUAGGUCGUCUGCUUUCCAAAGGGGGUAAUCGCUCGGAAUUUUACCAUAAAACUAAGGUAUUUUACAAAAUGCCCCUUAAAUUGGGUUAAAAUCAUAGAUUUGCCCUCGUGCCUUUUAUGAUACAGAAAUUGCUGUUAUUAAUAGACAAUUUCAAAAUAACUUUUA
rnacentral:misc_RNA from 1 species